CUGUAAGGAUCAUUUGGUGUUAGGAAUUAUUUGCCACUUCAAUGAAGCAGAGGGGAGAGAAAAGAAAAAAAAAGAGUCUGCCUUCCAGGCAAAGUCAUGGCAGAUCAAGAUCUGUUGACAAAUCUCCCAGCCUGCUGACAUGCAAAGAUAAGAGGAGUCAUACUUGAGGCUUUUGACCAUUGCUGUGUCCCAGGACUUGUCCUGGCCAGAUCCUGGAGUCUUGUUAGAUGAAACUAAAGCUCCUUAGAGAAGCUACUGUGGUAAGAACUUCUGUGUUCUGUAGUAAUUCUGAAUUUUGCUCUUCUUAAAUGUGGCUAGCGUGUGAGCCCUCAGUGAGUGACUCUUCAUGCAGACCCUUACAAAAUUACAUUAUACUGAGAGUUAGUAGCAUAGUCAGCCAUUCUUACUGCUUACAUACACUUGAGGAUGGGAAUGGCAAAUGAAUCCAGCCAGUUUCAUCUGCCCAAAGAACUUUCUUUAUUGUAAGAGGCUUUCUUUCUAGAUGGAAUAUUUUACCUCUAGAAAGCCCUGUAUUGUAAUCAGACAUUUCUCUCCAAAAUGGGCAGUUUCAAUCUCAGAGGAAAUUGAUAUACAACAUAGAAAUCAUCACUUCUACAAUUUCUCUCAGAGAACAACCUAGAUUAGUUGUUUCUCUGUAGCUGACACCACAUUUUCCCAUGCCCUUCUACAGCCUGAGAUUUGAGUCCAUUGUCAUAAUGUGUCCUUUAAAAAGAAAUCAUGCUCCACAUGACUAAGGCAAACCCACUCUUAGAAGUAAACCCAGCGUUCUUCAGAAACUACAUGCUUACCACUCAGCAGACUGCCCUGUAUACUAAUACUAAACUCUCAUAGCUUCAUUCAGCUCUUCACACUCUUCCACCCUCUCCCUUCUUCCUACCUUCAGAUGGUGCCCCCAAAGCCAGUGGGAAGGCAUGCAUGGGAAAUGCUGGAGGGUCUUGAGCAGCCACUGCCUUCGUAAGUAGAAUUGGACUGCCUUGAACAGCACCAGAAAUAGACUGAGCAAGAAGGCCCAUUGGAAGAACCCAGAGAUACCAUCCAAGUACCUUGUAGGGCUAAAUAAAAAAAAACCCAUGGUUAGUAGUUUCUGGAUCACUAGUGUCACUAAAUGUUUAGAAACCCGCAUUUAAGUCAUGAGAAGGUAGACACACCUACUUGUGGGAGGGGGAAUGGAGAAGACAGACAGAGACUGACCUCAGAAUCCAAAGUUUAUUAAUCUGCAACAUCAGCUUUGGUAAACAGUAAAAACAAAUCUCUAGUAUCUAGUCUUGGUAACAUCUAUAUGUAUACCAAUUCCCAUUUCUCUGAACUACUCACAACUAUUUAUUGAGCACAUAUUGCAUGUUAUGUAUAUCCUUGCUGAUGAGGUAAAGUCAUGGACUAGACAUUAACCUGGAUAUUAAGAAAUUCACAUUCUAAUUUACCAAACAUGUAAUAGGUGUAGCUGCUUGUACUAUUUUCCUAAUUUCAGGGUGAAAUGAUGACAACAGUAGUUGGUGUGUUCAGAUGAAUGUAAUUGCUGAAAGUUUCUACCUAUAGUCAUCUUUGCAUCUGGACUCCAAAUCCAGCUGUUUCUUCCAUUUUAUCUGAGACUUGUCACAGUCACACUCCAGAUUGAUCCAGGAUGGAUGUGCCAGCAGGUGGAACAGUGCAGUUGCAUUCAGGUGGCUCAAGACUCAAUCAGCCUCACCACAUACACAGCCUGUGACAGACUCUUUCUCUGUCUCACUAUCUUGACUGAAUGGAAUAAUAAAACCUUUCUUUUCUAAAUACUUAAAUUGCCCAUCACUUAUUCAGUCACUCAUUAAUUUAAGAAUAUUUCUUGACCUCACAUAGGGCAAACUCUAAUAAAGAAAUCAGUCCAAUUAUAUAUAUAUUAUGCCUUGCCUGAAAAAAAUUAAUGUACACACAGAAUAGAUAAAGCGAAAGUUAAAAAAAAUGAGAUAUUGAAGGAUUACUAGCCAAUCAAUUGAAAAGUGCUGAGAUAGUUUCCAACUACCUCAUUUAUUUAUAGAUUUUAUGGAGAUAUUAUUUAAGCAGAGAAAGAAUGUUUUGGUUGUCAGUCUAUCCAUUAACAUGAAGAUGGAUAGCUAGGAAGGCCCUGAGGAUCUAGGAGAAGUUGGAGGAAGGAAAGAAUAUGAUCAAAUUAUAUUGCAUGAAAAAAAUUAAAUAAAAAAUAAAUUUUAAAAAUGACAAAACUUUUAGAAAGGAAGAAAAACAAAGAAGUUAAGGGGUAGAAAUAAGCCUUUCUCUGGAAUCUUUAUCCUCACCUGGAUCAUGAUUAUCUUCCCUAAAUUAAUCCUAGUUGUGAAGACCACAAAGAGGCAAACACAAAAGGUAUUUUAACAAGAAUCUCUAGAAAGCCAGCCCAUUCACUCUGCCAGGAAUGUGUGUUUGCCGCUCACUUGAUCCUUUAUCUAUCCAAACAUUUUCUUUAACACCCACUACUUCAUCUUCCACUGUGACACAACAUGCAUAACCCACUACUUUUUCUUUCUUUCCACAAUUCUGAGCUUUGGUCAAAACCAAAGACCGAGAGGGACAUGCUCCAUACGUCUGAACUUUUAGCCCACUUUGUGGUCAUUUUACAACUUCAAAUAUUUGUUGGAUGAGUAAAUGAUUGAAAGAUCCAGUCCAUUUCUUGGGACAGGUCAUUUUGUACCCUUUCUCCUUCCCUACUUGGAUCCUCUCCCACUUUCAGAGUGGAAUUCAGUAGUGGAAAGAGCUUUGGCGUCCAAGACUACUGCUGAAUUUUAGUUUUGACUGUUUCCUUCUCUGAAUCUGAGUUCUUUUUGUUUGACCCAUAUUAUGGUAAGCAUGAACACAGAGUAGGUAGGUACUUGACCUGCUUUCUCCCAUAACUCUCCAAAACAAUGUUGUUUUUU